rnacentral:rRNA from 1 species
GAGGCCUACGGGAGGCAGCAGUGGGGAAUAUUGCGCAAUGGGGGCAACCCUGACGCAGCAACGCCGCGUGAUUGAAGAAGGCCGUCGGGUUGUAAAGAUCUUUAAUCGGGGACGAAUUUUGACGGUACCCGAAGAAUAAGCUCCGGCUAACUACGUGCCAGCAGCCGCGGUAAUACGUAGGGAGCAAGCGUUAUCCGGAUUUACUGGGAGUAAAGGGCGGGUAGGCGGGAAUGCAAGCCAGAAGUGAAAUCUG